rnacentral:rRNA from 1 species
UGGGGAAUCUUGCACAAUGGGCGAAAGCCUGAUGCAGCGACGCCGCGUGCGGGACGAAGGCCUUCGGGUUGUAAACCGCUUUCAGCAGGGACGAGGCCGCAAGGUGACGGUACCUGCAGAAGAAGCCCCGGCUAACUACGUGCCAGCAGCCGCGGUAAUACGUAGGGGGCGAGCGUUAUCCGGAUUCAUUGGGCGUAAAGCGCGCGUAGGCGGCCUGCUAGGUCGGGACUCAAAUCCGGGGGCUCAACCCCCGCCCGGUCCCGAUACCGACAGGCUUGAGUCUGGUAGGGGAAGGCGGAAUUCCAAGUGUAGCGGUGGAAUGCGCAGAUAUUUGGAAGAACACCGGUGGCGAAGGCGGCCUUCUGGGCCACGACUGACGCUGAGGCGCGAAAGCUAGGGGAGCGAACAGGAUUAGAUACCCUGGUAGU